rnacentral:rRNA from 1 species
CCUACGUGCGGCAGCAGUGGGGAAUAUUGGACAAUGGGCGAAAGCCUGAUCCAGCCAUGCCGCGUGUGUGAAGAAGGCCUUCGGGUUGUAAAGCACUUUCAGUGGGGAAGAAAGCCUUGGGGCUAAUACCCUCGAGGAAGGACAUCACCCACAGAAGAAGCACCGGCUAACUCCGUGCCAGCAGCCGCAGGUAAUACGGAGGGUGCGAGCGUUAAUCGGAAUUACUGGGCGUAAAGCGCGCGUAGGCGGUCUGAUAAGCCGGUUGUGAAAGCCCCGGGCUCAACCUGGGAACGGCAUCCGGAACUGUCAGGCUAGAGUGCAGGAGAGGAAGGUAGAAUUCCCGGUGUAGCGGUGAAAUGCGUAGAGAUCGGGAGGAAUACCAGUGGCGAAGGCGGCCUUCUGGACUGACACUGACGCUGAGGUGCGAAAGCGUGGGUAGCAAACAGGAUUAGAUACCCGAGUAGUC